AGGGAAUGUUCCGCGAUGGACGAAAGUCUGACGGAGCAACGCCGCGUGAGUGAUGAAGGCGUUCGGGUCGUAAAACGCUGUUGUUAGGGAAGAACAAGUGCUAGUUGAAUAAGCUGGCCCCUUGACGGUACCUAACCAGAAAGCCACGGCUAACUACGUGCCAGCAGCCGCGGUACGACGUAGGUGGCAAGCGUUAUCCGGAAUUGUUGGGCGUCAAGCGCGCGCGGGUGGUUUCUUAAGUCUGGUGUGAAGGCCCAGGGCGCAACCGGGGAGGGUCAUUGGAGACUGGGGGACUUGAGUGCAGAAGGGGAGAGUGGAAUUCCAUGUGUAGCGGUGAAAUGCGUAGAGAUAUGGAGGAGCUCCAGGGGCGCAGGCGACGUUCGGGUCUGUAACUGGCACUGAGGCGCGCAAGCGUGGGGGGCAAACAGGAUUAGAUACCCUGGUAGUCCACGCCGUAAACGAUGAGUGCUAAGUGUUAGAGGGUUUCCGCCCUUUAGUGCUGAAGUUAACGCAUUAAGCACUCCGCCGGGGGAGUACGGCCGCAAGGCUGAAACUCAAAGGAAUUGACGGGGGCCCGCACAAGCGGUGGAGCAUGUGGUUUAAUUCGAAGC
rnacentral:rRNA from 1 species